UACCGUCCUCCCCCUUAAUGCACCUCACCUGAUCGAGGUCACGACCCUUUCUCUCCCUAGCCUUAGCGAGUCUAAACAACUUUUUCUCCCCUCCCUUCCCCUGUAACCCUGCAUACAGGCUCUCAAAGGCGGCCGUCUUAGCUGCCGUGACUGCGGACUUAGCCUCCUUCCUCGCUAGCUUGUACUCUGUCCUGUUUACCCGUUUCUCCUCUUCGUCCUUCCUUUCCACCAACUUGGCAUACGCCCCUUUCUUGGUCCCCACUUUCUUCUCCACCUCUUCAUUCCACCACCAAUCCCCCUGAUGGUGCCCGGCCCGGCCCCUAGAAACCCCCAACACCUCACUUGCAUUCUCGCUGAUGCACCUAGCCGCCCUAUCCCACAUACUAUCCACGUCUCCCCUACACUCCCACACCCCCAUUCCUGCCAACUUCUCCCCUAUCUUCCACGCAUUCACUGGCGUCAAGCCGCCCCACUUAAUUCUAGGUCUACACUCCCUGCUCCUCCUCUUUCUAUUCUUCUUUAUACCCAAAUCCAUAACCAAGAGCCUC
rnacentral:lncRNA from 1 species